UACAGGGGGGGCAAGCGUUGUUCGGAAUUACUGGGCGUAAAGGGCCAGUAGGCGGCCGACUAAGUCCGACGUGAAAUCCCCAGGCUUAACCUGGGAACUGCGUCGGAUACUGGUGGGCUUGAAUUCGGGAGAGGGAUGCAGAAUUCCAGGUGUAGCGGUGAAAUGCGUAGAUAUCUGGAGGAAUACCGGUGGCGAAGGCGGCAUCCUGGACCGACAUUGACGCUGAACGGCGAAAGCUAGGGGAGCAAACGGG
rnacentral:rRNA from 1 species